UCGGAUAUGGUGUAACGGUUAACAUUGCCGCCUUUCAUUUGCACGUAUACUGUACCCUUCGCGGCAGCUCGGGGUUCGAUUCCCCGUAUCCGAA